rnacentral:rRNA from 1 species
CAGCCGCCACGGUAAUACGAAGGGUGCAAGCGUUACUCGGAAUUACUGGGCGUAAAGCGUGCGUAGGUGGUGGUUUAAGUCCGUUGUGAAAGCCCUGGGCUCAACCUGGGAAUUGCAGUGGAUACUGGGUCACUAGAGUGUGGUAGAGGAUAGUGGAAUUUCCGGUGUAGCAGUGAAAUGCGUAGAGAUCGGAAGGAACAUCUGUGGCGAAGGCGACUAUCUGGGCCAACACUGACACUGAGGCACGAAAGCGUGGGGAGCAAACAGGAUUAGAGACCCCUGUAGUCCCUGUCUCUUAUCA